GCUGAAAGGUCAACAGGCACAACAGAGCCGGCCCAGGAGAAGCCCUGCAUGACUCACCGAGGGCCCAUGCUGGGGGCUUCCGGCCCUGGCGACACCAGACACAGAGCCACUGUUAGCUCCGAGAGUCCUGCUCACAGCUCAAGUCACUGCUGUGAGGAAAGAGCCCGCAGUGGUCAGCACGGGAGGUACUGAGACACCGGCCUCAGGCAGGGUGGCCACCUGGCCCCUUCCUAAGACAAUGCAAGACUGCUGGGAGGACUCUUCAUAGUGCCUCAGAGGAGGGUCUGCCCAGGUCCUGCUGGCGGCUCACGCACGAGGCUCUUAGGAAGAGCCACCCGCUCCUGCCCGAGAACUGCUGUCCAGCUGGGAGCUCACGGCUGGUCCCUCGCUGGCCUGUCCACGUGACCUGGAAGCAAGCUACCAAGCAACAGCACUCCCGGGGUGGAGACAGAGGACAUCUCUCCUGGGAGGCCUUGCGUAGGGGCUUUGAUGUGGAUGAAGACAGCCCAGCCCAGCAUGGAGGCCGGGAAGGCGGGCCUGGAGUCCGUCACUCAUUACUGAAAUGACCAGAAGGCGGUUCGAGGGACUUCAGGAUGUGAUGUGUGCAUCACAGCCAGGCUGCGUGGGCAGAGCAGCUUCCUCCCAGUCAGAGUCUGGGCGGAUACGAAAGACAGUGGCCACUGACCGCUGCCUCUGAGACCCUGC
rnacentral:lncRNA from 1 species